rnacentral:misc_RNA from 1 species
UGGAGGAACUGGUAUGUCACUGCAGAUUCAACCCGUUUUCAUAGAGCUGUUGAAUGCUGCUUUUGAACUUCUCACCUCUUGUCGCUGCUUAGGAGAGACCGGCUGCCCUAAUUGUGUCCAAAGUCUGGCCUGUCACGAAUACAAUGAGGUUUUACACAAGGAUGCAGCCAGUUUAAUUAUCAAGGGUGUUCUGGAUGCAGAGAA